rnacentral:snoRNA from 1 species
AUCCUCGGAAUAUCUGCCCGCAUAGUGCAAUGCAUACAACUAUUGCGGUUCCUGGAACCGAGGAAGAUUACCGCUACAUCUCAGCCGCCCAUCAUUCGCAAAAUACCGGGUGGGCUGCGGUGUGGCCAUGGUGGGAAUGCUUUGGAUGACCCGAGCAAUAUACUCUGUGUGCUCGGUGUGGUUUUUUAGCGCCCUACAUCU